CCACUGGUCAGUCGGUAGAGCACAAGGCUCUUAGCCUUAUGGUCGUGGGUUCGAGCCCCACGGUGGG
rnacentral:tRNA from 1 species